rnacentral:rRNA from 1 species
UACGUAGGGGGCAAGCGUUGUCCGGAAUUAUUGGGCGUAAAGAGCGUGUAGGCGGUCCGGUAAGUCAGCUGUGAAAGUCAAGGGCUCAACCCUUGAAUGCCGGUUGAUACUGUCGGGCUAGAGUCCGGAAGAGGCAGGUGGAAUUCCCGGUGUAGCGGUGGAAUGCGUAGAGAUCGGGAAGAACAUCAGUGGCGAAGGCGGCCUGCUGGGCUGUUGCUGACGCUGAGGCGCGACAGCGUGGGGAGCAAACAGG